AUUUUGAAAAAUUACCGGAUUCUCUGUUACACCCUUCUACAGUGUUUCACUACUUACGCAGGUCAAGGCGCGCAUAUCGGCCAGGUGCUAUGUUACCGCUAAAAUGAAACCCAGUAGCUAGCAAAAUGAGUAUAAAAAAAACAACAAACGUCUUUAUUAAGUUUCUUUGGGAAGGGGAAAAGACUCAGUCAGGAGACAGAAGAGGAGCCUACGACUUCCAAGAAAAAGAAGGCUACAUUUAAUAGACAGUACAGCAUCAGGAAUCAUACUUAAAAUACGAUUUUAUCGCAACGGGCGAUCCCCACGCACCAAAAACACUCAGCAUAAUAUGCGGCGAUGGCCGAAAAAGCUGAGCCGCCCUCAAUGCUUGAUUGCAGACUAAUCCCACAGAAAGACAGCAACACCGACUACAAUCUCCCUUUGAGCAAUGGCUGCAGUGCACAGCAGUGACCUCAUCACCUCAACCCCCUCCUGAGCAAGCUUUGAAACCUGAGAAAGCAGUUCUGACCUUUGGCAUUCUGCCUCCCACCUCUCAUGGCAAGAAGAAGCCCACCCCGUCCUUGUUUCUUCCCCCGUUUCGGACAGGAUGUGACCUACGAGGAGUGCUCUGUAGGAGGGCCUUGACCCCAGACACUGUCCAGACUACGUGUCUGGACCCACCGAGGCCUGCCGGGCUGACAUCAAGACCUGAUAACGAGAUGUAUGAGGACUCAGUUCAAAACAGUCAGAUAUUCUCGAUCAAAAACAGCGGUGGGGGUUUCACACAGUGAUGGGAGUCAUUUCUUUGGAUGUGCACACCUUUUGCUACCUUGAAAAUGCUUCCCAAUGGCAUUUUUGAAUCUUCGGCAACUCAGUGCACUCACUCGGCACGUAUUGUACUACUCCUCUCUCUGUGAUUUGGGUUUCCACUUUCCAGACAUUAGCUUUCCUACCGAUGUCCAUUUUUUUCUGACCAAUAAAAUAUAUCCUGCUAGUAUUUUGGAAUCAUCGGCAAUUCCAGGCAUUGAGUUGACAUGUUUUACUCCACCUCUCUGUGACUUGGGUGUCUGUUUAAGUCCCGCCUUCCUGUUCAUUUUGAUUUAGAGCAAUAUUCAUCUGGAAGAUGUGCCGGUUUCUGUAUUCAUGUCUGCACUUAAUUAAAAAUGAGUUAUGCCAGUCUUG